GUCUCUCCUCUCGUUUAGAAGACGUCUUCGAUGAUGUGUCCUGUGUUUGUCCUCGUGCUCACCAUCGCUAUAAUCAUCUCCAGGACAUCAUCGGCAGACCAAACCAGCAUUGGCGCACCGGCUGGUAACAAUGAACAAUUUUCAUACAACUUCUCCGCGACGACUCGAGGACAGAGCAUCUACAGAGCAGCUCCGGCCUCGGACCGCGGCAGCUCCAAAGCCUACGUCUGAACCGCCUCCACACCUCCUGUCCGAUGUCCCCUCACAGGCUGAUUCGUGUGCUGCGUUCAGACGCCUUUCACAAGCUUUUUUAACCCUUUAAAACCUGAGCAAAAUGGUU